rnacentral:lncRNA from 10 species
AAGUAGCUGGGAUUACAGGCACGCACCACCAUACUCGGCUAGUAGAGACAGGGUUCCUCCAUGUUGAUCAGGCUGGUCUCGAACUCCCCACCUCAGGUGAUCCGCCUGCCUCGGCCUCCCAAAGUGCUGUGAUUACAGGCACGAGCCACCAUAAGCUUUUACAUACAGGAAGAUAAAAGUAUUGGUGUGUGUUUUAGUUCAUUCAGGCUGCUAUAAGUAAACAUGAUAAACUGGGUGCCUUAUAAACAAGAGAAAUUUAUUUCUCACCGUUCUGGAGGCUAAGUCCAAGAUCAAGGGACCAGCGAGACUGUCAGCUGCAGGCCAGAUUUCUGGUUCAAAGGUAGAAACUUUCCGCUCUUUCCACUGUCUACUCACAUAGUGGGAGGAGCUAGGGAUUUUUCUGGGGCCUCUUCUAUAUGGCCACUAAUCCCACUCAUGAGAGUUCCACCCGAUUGAGUUAAUCUUCUCCCAGAGUCUCCACCUCCUAAUACUAUCACCUUGGAGGUUAGGAUUUCAACAUAUGAAUUUUAGGAGGACGUAAGUAUUCAGUUCAUUGCACUAUUACUACAUGAGAAAAAAAUAUGUUGACUUUUCUCUAGCAUUGUUUAAAAACCUGUUUUAAAGAGGAAUUAGGCUAAAAUUGUGUUUAGAGAUGAAGCACUGAUUGAUGCCUGUAGAUUUAUAGUACAUUUGUCUGGACAGUAGUAAGUUCCUAAGCUAUCAGAAAUUUGGUAAUAAGGUUGAUGAUAUGCUGAUUAUUUGUAAUCAGCAUUACAAGUGAUAAUGCUGAUUAUUUGAAAGCCAAAGUUUCUUAGGGAAUUCUUAGGGAAUUCCUAAGCUUAAAGAAAUUAAUAAAAUAAAAAAUCAGCUGAGAUUUUGUCUUGUUAAUUUAGAAAACACUUUUUAAGCUGUCUUUCUAAAAAUCUCUGGAGUUACCUCACAGGAAUAUGUGUGUUGCAACAAUACAUUUGUAGCAUGCAUAACACAGAAGGAAAAAGAGAAGGAAAUUAGUUUUCGAAAUUGCUAAUUCAAGUUGAGCAUAAAAAUAUCCAGUGACCUGGCACCAUUCUGUCAAUUUUCCUCUCACUUCCUGUGUUGGUAGAGAUGUGUACACCCUAAAUGGAUGGGUGAAAGCUAUUAGCAAUCUGUCAUAAAAAGAAAUUGAUUUUUUUUUAAUUUUAAAAAUGCAUCUUACCCAGGAGCUCUUUGGUGCUUUACAGAGAUGGAAAGACUCAAUAAUUUAUUUAUAGUAAGUUCAGAGCUAGGCAAGGGCAAUCAAAAAAUUUCUUGCACAGUACAGGGAUGAUUUACUAAGAGAAAACUAAGAGAAUGCUGGAAGUAGUUAUCACAUGCAAAUCCUCUCAUUUGUUUAAUAUAAAUAUAUAUCUAACUUAUCUGUGGCUGAUUAUCCAUGUAUUUAAGUCACUUUAGCAAAAAUGUCAAACAUAAAAAAUGUAAAGUGUUAUUGCAGAUACUUUUUGUUAUAAAUUAUAAAGGCAAUAGACUGUACAACUAAGAUCAAAUACAUAUUAUCAAAUGGUGUCAAAAUUUGGUGUGCCCUGGCAUUUUAACUGUUUGAUUUAUUAAGAGUGUUUUUUACUCUUAGUAGUGUAAUUUCUUAGAGAUAGAUACGUUCUUUGCAUUUUAAUUUUUGAACUUGAAGCCCAUGUUAACAGCACAUUGCCUGGGCUUCCUGCCUGUAUGCUUGCCUUCUUUUUUUCAUUAUUCCUCUUUUUUAUUCAUUUCUUUCGAAUAAUUUAGUCUAAAAGCCUGAUGAUGAGGCCAAGGAAGGUAGAUUUCCAAGUACGGUGGGUGGCUCUCCUGUCAGAGUUUAGAGCUCGAGCAAGGGAAGUGCCAGGGGUUGAAGCCCAAGUGAGGAAAGUGGUCAUCUUGGGUUGUAGCCUAGUGAGGUCAAAAGAUUGGUUACAUAAGUGAUAUUGAUAAAAUUGGUACAUGUGUUUAGAACAGUGGGAGUUAGGUUUCUCACUGACAGAGAAAAAGUUAUAAAUAUGGAAAGAUGAAAAAAUACAAUAAGCAUUCUGUGCUAUAUUGGAGUUGAAAGCGUCAGAGGGAACAUAUAAUUUUAAUAUGUAUAGAUAAGUGUAGAAAAGCAUAGGUGUGUGUGUGUUUUCUAGCGUGGCUCACUAAAAGGGCCUGGUAGCAUUGACAUUUCAAUCACAAUGAGCACACGUAGUGCCAGAUCUUGGCUUCUAAAGAUCAUUCUCCACUAAGAGAAAUCAGAGCUUCUUGGAGAAAUGGCUAACUUCAGGGUAGUGGGAGGAAAAAUACAAAAUGCCCAGAAUCUGUUGUGUUGGGAAGUGAGACAGUGAACUAAGAAUGAUGGAGAUAUGUUAAAAGAACACAAAACCAGCUUGAAGGGGUCACCACUGGCCACAUUGGGGAAAAUUUGACCAUUACAAUAAAUAACCGUAAAUUUUUAUAAUCCAUUGACUAGAACAGGAAUCCAUGAGUCUGUAGUGAUGUAAAUAAUUCAAUAGUUGAGAAGAAACAGCUCUUUUUUAUAGUAUGAUGCCAACUAAUAGAUACAGAAGAAAUUGUAAAAAUUAAACUUUGCUGUUUUAAUGUUAAUCACUUUAUUUUGAUGGAUGCCCUGGACUUAGAUGGAUGCAUGUCCUCACUUAUAGGAAAACUGCACAAAGGUAGCCAGAGUUAACUCGGCAUAAUGUUGGCAAAUUACUCCGAAAGAUGCAGAAAGAAAAAAUUCAUACUCUUCUUGCAAAAUACUAUCAUUGUAAAUUUGGAAUUACUUCAAACAAAAAACUUUAAAAAAAACUAUAAUGAUCACAUUUUCUAUGAACACAAUAUGGCUAUUUCUGUGUAUAAAAAAUUAUGUUGGAGAAGUAGAAAAGAUUACUGCUUUUGCUUAUUUUUUUCCAGGUAUAAAGCAUCAUCAGUAGGUGUGGUUGGGCUUCAUCCCCAAAAUGUUAUUUGAGGGAUAAGCUCUGUAAUUUUUAGGAAGGCUGAAUUCAGUCAACCAUAGGAAAGAUUCAUGUGAUUCUAGUGUGGGAGUAGCAUUUACAGACGUGUUUGGCUCCAUGAAAGAAACCAAGAUCCCCAGUCACUCAGAUGUAGCUCCUCCUUGAACUUGUAUCCUCAAAUGAAGCAAGGGGGAGAAAGUGGCACCAUAAAAGAACUGCUCCUCAAGAAAGGGAAGCGCAGAAUCACUAGAGGCAUCUGGGUGACAGAGCUAGUACCCAUGGGGAAGCAGUAUGGGCAAUGGAGUGAGCUUGGCAAAUUCACAGCGCAAUACUGUAACUAUUGAAACUGUAACAUAUAAGGGUUCUCAUUCCUGGGUCUACCAGACAGUAUUAUACAAACCCUGGCCUAAGUGUAGGUCAUUGAUAAAUUUGUGACAUUCCUUGAUUAUGGAAUGUUUUACAAUUUUUCUUUUAUAUGUUUCAUUUAAAAUUUUAUAACUUUUUAAAUGGGGGUUUCCUCAAACUCUGAUGAUGAUUUGUAUUUUUGACAUUUUCCCUGACUUUCACCUGAGCCUAGACCUGUUAAUAAUAUUUGCAUAACAAUAUAGGAUGGCUUUAAUCACUUUAAUUAAACAAUUAUAAUAUCUUUAAUAGGAAAUGAAUACAUAAAAUAGCCUUUUAUUAAAAUGAAUUUCUGCUUUCCUACAUAUAUUUUUUCAUAUGUCAUUAUGUGUUUUUCAAACAUAAUUUUUUAUAACAGCAUAGAAUUCCAUUUUUGGACAUAUCAUAAUAGAACUAUACUUCAUUACAGGAUAUUUACGUCAUUUUCAUUUUUUAAAAUGUUCUUAUAGAUAGCAUUGUGAACUUCAUUUAAAUAAAUAAUUAAAUUCCUCUUGUGUAUAGAAGUUCUGGCUCAAAAAUAUACACUCUUUAAGGGUCUUGGUAUACAUUUAAAAAUUAUUUUCCUGAAGGAUUUUAUCUAUUUAUAACUUCAGCUUUGAUUUUUAUAUAACAUAUUUAAAAUAUCUUUGUGAAUUUGAUGUGCAAAAAUAGUGUUUGUUGUAAUUUGCAAAUGUUUGAUUCCUAGCCAGUUAAGUUUCUGCCUCCCACAUCUUCAUGGAGUAUUUAUAUUUAUUCUGUUGUGAAUUGGUUUCCCUUGCCAUUUUUAUCUAAUUAGCUAUAUUCAACUAAGAGUUAAUUUGACUUUUAAGGUUUCAUUUAAAAAUGAAAUUCAUUCAUUUGAGGUUUAUUUUAUGGUCAGGGACAAGGUGAUACAUAGUAUACUUUUUUUUCUUUUUCAAAAUAGUCAAGUUCCAAUAUUGCUGUUGCGCCAUUUCUCCCUUCCCCCAUAGCUGGCUGUGCUUUGUCAGCACAUGCUGAGAUCUAUUCUGUCUACUGGGGUCUGUGUUUUCAGUUUUCUUUUCUGACUCACUGGCUUUCCCUUUGGUUCCUGAUGGUCCAUUAGCAGGACACUCUUUUCCUUACCAUUCACUGAUAGGAAUUUUUUUUUACAAUAACUUUUUUCUUCACUAUUCCCACCUAUGAAUUUUCCCAGUAGAAAGCUUUAUAACUAUGUUGUUUCAUCUUUCAAAAACACAUUGAGAUUUUUAUUAACCUUAAAAUUCAAUAUGGAAACAAUUAGCAUACUUCUGUUAUUCAGUCUUCCCGUUAAAAAUCAAAUUUACUCUUUCAUAAUAACUUUUUGUGGUUUUCUUUAUGUGAUCUUAAGUAUUUCUUGUUAUUCUAUUUUCUAGCUACUUUAUGAACUUUGUUUCUAGUGUGCAUGGAAUCUUUUUCUUUUCAUAUUUGAAUAUUUAUGAAUUCUCCAUAUUGAAGUUGUUGAUUUUACAGCAUCUGUAUCCUGUUUUUUACUAUUCUUCCCGGUGGAAGGUGCUUUUCUUUUUGUUGUCUUUAUUUUUGAAAACGAGUGUGCGAGAAGUAUGUUGUAAUUGAAGUAGCAUACUGCCUGACACCCAAGAGGUUGCUCUGUAAGUGAAUUGCCUUUCACCUCCUGCCAUGAUUCUGAGGCCCCCAGCCAUGUGGAACUGGAGAAGGGAGAUGAAAUAAUACCAGCAUCCUGAACCUGAAUGUCCAGCUUCGCCUUGUUCUUUGUGGAUUAUAAGACCAUUGAUUAAAUAAAUCCUUUCAUCAAAAUUAUCUUAAAAAAGAAACUACCAUCUAAAUCCAGUUAUUCCAUCUGACUUGGUAGCAGUGAUGUUUGGAGUUUAGGACCUAAAGGUGAAAUGGUAGGUAAGGAAUGUCCUUUCAGAAUUUUAGGGUUCUCUUUAAAAUAAGGAUCGAUAAACCAGUAUUAACCGAUGCAUUUAUGGGUUAUUAGUAACUUUGCUUUUAGUUUUUUCUACUUCAGUGAGUCUGAAAUAUUGCCAGUGUUAAAGAAUAUGAUGGUUCUUGCUCAAUAGUGAAGAAGAUAUGAAGGAAAAUCAGACGGACAUUUUUUUUUUUUCUGGUUGAUGUCAUUAGGUUGAAUUUAAAUUGCAUAUGAUGUUGAGAAACCACACACUUAAUUUUUUUGAAAAUUGUAGGGUGCAAUGACUGUCUUCUACUUGAAUGGAAAUGAUUAUAAAUAUGUUUUAAAAUUUGACAAGUGCUAGUGAAUAUAAAAUAUUAUUGCUAUAUUAUUUUUCAUUAAGUUGUGGUCUUAAAGACACUUCUAAACGAUACAUUUUUUUGUGAAGAGAUUUAAUUAUCUUUUAAAUUGUUCUUUUUAAAGUAUUUAUUAAAAACAUCAACAUUAUUUUUUAAAUUCUUAAGUAUAAUGUUAUGGAAAAAUACUGUAUGAAAUAUUCUAAAACACAAAUUCUUUAUCUUUUCAUUUAUUAAAAAAUAAUUUGUUUCUAUUUCCUUUUUCCAGAGUCAGUUUGGCCCGAUCUGUACAUAUUUUGCAGUUAGAAAAAGUAUUUGAUAUGUAUUUGAUAAACUGAUUAAAUGCUAAAUGGUUUUGAGAUGAUUCUUAUACUGGAAUCUAUAUCUUUUAAAUACACACUAAGUAGACUGACAAAUAGAACAAAAUUGCUAGAAGAAUCAAGUUCAUUCUCUGCUUCUUGCAAUGUAACUAAUUAAAUAUGAAGGAGAGACAAAAUGCUAGUACAACGAAUCAAAGAAACAGAGAGAGAGAGAAUCAGUUCAUUUUUCAAUAUGUCAUUGUUUCUUAGACAAGAACAAUGAAUCACUGAGCACAAAUGGCUUAAUCUCCAGGCACAGCCUCUAGUGUUGCUCCAGAUUCAAACUAACAUUUGAUGACAAUAUAAGACAUUCAUCUCUUGUGAAUCUAUUGUUUAGUGUGGGUUUUAAUUUGUUGCAAUAGUUAUAAGCCACAACAAAUGCAGGUUUUCAGAGAAUCAGAAAUGGAGUAAGAAUGGAACACUGUAUGUUCUAGAUCACAGGCCAUUUAUGUAUGUAUGUAUCCCUACUAUAAUGUUGAUGAUGCUUACAUAAUUUCUUUAUAUGUAGAAAAGAUACUUCAAAUUUCAGAUAGAUGAUCACACCAACAAAUGGCAAAUGUUGUAUUUCUGUCAAAACAUUAAAUUUGGCAUGCUUGGUGUUUCUUCAACAUGGAAUGACCAUCAAGUUAAAUGGCUGGAAAACUUAAGCUGAGAAUGGUGUUGUUUACAUUUCUUCACAGAAGAAGCAAGAUAAAUACCAUAUUAUGUGCGCAUGUGUAUAUGUAAAUCACAGUGCACAGAAAAAGAGAGAUGUCUUUCACUGAUAUUAAAACUAGGUGAAGAUAAGCCAAAAUAAUUUUUCAAUUAAGCUGUUUCUUAAAUGCUUAACAAUUAUCUUUUCUAACUAUAAACCAUGUCAUUGAAUACAAGAUUCACCAGCUAUAUUUUGGACAAAGGAUGUCAAAAAUGUUUUUAUUCUUAUGGUCAGCAUCUGUCCAUACCAAGAAAAUGACAGACAUACAGUAAACACUCAACAUGUUUGCUGAAUGGAGAGCUAUGAAGCUUUGAGGAAACUGCAUGACCUGAUAUUUCAAGGAAUAUCUUUUGGCUACAGAUAUUCUGAUAAAUAUACAAUUUUAGAUGUUGGGAGAUAAAGUACAGAUCUGUAAGGUGGUCAAAAUAAUGUUUGCCUUUUCCCCUUUCUUACUUUUGUAGAUAUAUGUACAUAUAUACAUAUGUACUCACACAGACACAUACACACACACACAUAUGUAUGUGUGUUGCCUGGAAAGCAAGUGUGUAGAAAUCGUGGGAUUAGGAUUAGGAUUAUGGGGAUCUAACUGCGUCCAUGUCAUUCUUGGAGAAACAGUUCUAAGAACAAAUGCUGAAGGCAAACAAAUGAUGCAUUCUCAAAUGAAAGAGGUCUGAACUGAGAUUGUGCCCAUCAAUUCCUGAGAAGAGAAUUUUAACAAAACGCAGCUGAAAGAGAUGCAAGCUAAAGCCAGGCCACAAAUUUUAUUUACUUAAAAAUAUCAGGGAGCAUCCAUUUUUCCUCUUUCAACAUGACAUGUAAGACAAAGCAUACUGUUGAAAAGAAAAAUAAAAUGAUGUUUUAAUAACUCAAAGAAGGAACACGUACAUGAAAGUGGUUUCUCACUGGAAUCUGCAAUAGUAACAAAGGAGACAGUGAGCAUCAAACAUCUGGGUUGUGGGCUCCCAUACACUUCCAUGAGAUUAUCCAGAAAACCAUGAAUUCUUGGGUGAGUGGGCAAUUUUCCUGAUAAGAGUGGAUGGCUACAAGAAAGGCAUCACCCCAACACUGGCCAGACUUUCACCUAUAAUCUUGGGUUAGUUGUCUCAUUGAGUAGAACAGAAAAAUAGCAUCAAUAUGAAUUAUUUUUUAAGGAGGUAACUUUAGGAUUUUUCUUCUGAGCAACACACAAGCAAAAAAGAAAAAAAAAAGAAAAAAGAGAAAAACCACUGACCAUAAAUGGCUUAAUCUCCAGGCCCAGCCUCCAGUGUUGCUCCAGAUUCAAACUGACAUUUGAUGACAAUAUAAGACAUUCAUCUUUUGUGAAUCUAUUGUGAGAAAUAGGGAAUCUAUUUCUCUAUGGUUUUUUAGUAGUGUGGGCCAAACUGUGUCUCUUCUCCCCAAAGUUAACGUGCUGAAACACUAACCUUCAGUACUUCAGAAUGUGAUAUUACUGGGAACAGGGCCUUUAAAGAGGCAAUUAAGUGAAAAUGAGGCAAUGAAGGUGGGCCCUAAUUUAAUUUUAAUGGUGUUCUCAUAUACAG